rnacentral:lncRNA from 1 species
AUGCCCCUCCUCUCCAGCCUCAACGGGAAUGGAAGUGUUGUGGAGGAAGCAGCUUCUACGCUAAGAGGACAGGCAAUGAGUAGCUGGGUCAGGAAGCAGCCCAGGCGGGGGCUGCCUGGAGGUGAGUGCAAACAUGUUGGAAGGCUGGGCUGCAAGAAGAUAAGAGAUGAGGCUCGAGAGACAAGCAGAAGCCAGAUCCCAAAAUGCCUUCUAAGGCUCUGUCAAGGAGCUUGGGCUUUAUCCUGAACACUAUAGGGAGCCAGAAAGGAGUAAAGGUUAGGAAGUGGUAUGAUAAUGUUUGUGUUUUCGAAUGUUUCCUCUGGUGCAAGUGUGGAGACUAGAUGGGGAGGGGGGUGGGAGAAGGAGAAGGUGGUGGGAGAAGAAGGUGGUGGGAGGAGAAGGUGGUGGGAGAAAGAGAAGGUGGUGGGAGAAGAAGGUGGUGGGAGAAGAAGGUGGGGUGGGAGAGAGAGACUCCAAGUAGGCUUAGUUCUGCUUCCCACUCCCUUCCUCUGACCUAGGCUGGCCUGGUUGUGAUACCUACACUUGCAGGGGCAAUGACAAUGGCUACCAUGUAUAGACAUGUAUGUGGUGCCAGGCACACUGUGGGAUAUGGUACAUGCUUUGUCUUGUUUAAGCCCCAUUAGAACCCUAUGAGGAGGCCGGGCGCAGUGGCUCACACCUGUAAUACCAGCACUUUGGGAGGCCGAGGCAGGUGGGUCACCUGAGGUCAAGAGUUCAAGACCAGUCUGGCCAACAUGGUGAAAUCCCGUCUCUACUAAAAAUUAAAAAAAAAAAAAAACAAGCCAGGCGCGGUGGCUCAAGCCUGUAAUCCCAGCACUUUGGGAGGCCGAGACGAGUGGAUCACGAGGUCAGGAGAUCGAGACCAUCCUGGCUAACCCGGUGAAACCCCGUGUCUACUAAAAAAUACAAAAAAAAACUAGCCGGGUGAGGUGGCGGGCGCCUGUAGUCCCAGCUACUCGGGAGGCUGAGGCAGGAGAAUGGCGUAAACCCGGUAGGCAGAGCUUGCAGUGAGCUGAGAUCCGGCCACUGCGCUCCAGCCUGGGCGACCGAGCGAGACUCCGUCUCAAAAAAAAAAUAAAAAAAAUAAAUAAAAUAAAUAAAAAUUAGCCAGGCGUGAUGGCAGGAGCCUGUAAUCCCAGUUACUCGUGAGGCUGAGGUGGGAGAGUCGCUUGAACCCAGAAGGUGGAGGUUACAGUGAGCUAAGAUCACACCAUUGCACUCUAGCCUGGGCGACAGAGUGAGACUCCGUCUCAAAAAAAAAAAAAAAAAAAAAACCUGUGUCGCUUAAACCCAGAAGGUGGAGGUUACAGUGAGCUAAGAUCAUACCAUUGCACUCCAGCCUGGGCGACAGAGUGAGACUCCGUCUCAAAAAAAAAAAAAAAAAAAACAAAACUGUGAGGUAGAAACUCU